rnacentral:rRNA from 1 species
CCUACGGGCGGCAGCAGUGGGGAAUCUUCCGCAAUGGGCGAAAGCCUGACGGAGCAACGCCGCGUGAGUGAAGAAGGUCUUCGGAUCGUAAAGCUCUGUUGCCGGGGACGAAUGUAGGCAGUGCAAACAGCAUUGUGUAAUGACGGUACCCGGCGAGGAAGCCACGGCUAACUACGUGCCAGCAGCCGCGGUAAUACGUAGGUGGCGAGCGUUGUCCGGAAUUAUUGGGCGUAAAGGGAGCGCAGGCGGGCGAGUAAGUCUUUCUUAAAAGUGCGGGGCUCAACCCCGUGAGGGGAGAGAAACUACUCAUCUUGAGUGCAGGAGAGGAAAGCGGAAUUCCUAGUGUAGCGGUGAAAUGCGUAGAUAUUAGGAAGAACACCAGUGGCGAAGGCGGCUUUCUGGAC